rnacentral:rRNA from 1 species
CCUACGGGAGGCAGCAGUGAGGAAUAUUGGUCAAUGGACGAGAGUCUGAACCAGCCAAGUAGCGUGAAGGAUGACUGCCCUCUGGGUUGUAAACUUCUUUUAUAUGGGAAUAAAAUGUUCCACGUGUGGGAUUUUGUAUGUACCAUAUGAAUAAGGAUCGGAUAAAUCUGUGCCAGCAGCCGCGGUAAUACGGAGGAUCCGAGCGUUAUCCGGAUUUAUUGGGUUUAAAGGGAGCGUAGGUGGAUUGUUAAGUCAGUUGUGAAAGUUUGCGGCUCAACAGUAAAAUUGCAGUUGAAACUGGCAGUCUUGAGUACAGUAGAGGUGGGCGGAAUUCGUGGUGUAGCGGGGAAAUGCUUAGAUAUCACGAAGAACUCCGAUUGCGAAGGCAGCUCACUGGACUGCAACUGACACUGAGGCUCGAAAGUGUGGGGAUCAAACAGGAUUAGAUACCCCUGUAGUC